rnacentral:tmRNA from 1 species
CUAAUUUUACAAAUGCUAACGAUAAUGAAGCAUUUGCGGUAGCCGCUUAACAGCUAAGCUACCACGGGGUUCGGAGGGCACCUGGCAACAGAAGCCCUCCACU